rnacentral:rRNA from 1 species
GAUGAACGCUGGCGGCGUGCCUAAUACAUGCAAGUCGAGCGAACGGACGAGAAGCUUGCUUCUCUGAUGUUAGCGGCGGACGGGUGAGUAACACGUGGAUAACCUACCUAUAAGACUGGGAUAACUUCGGGAAACCGUAGCUAAUACCGGAUAAUAUUUUGAACCGCAUGGUUCAAAAGUGAAAGACGGUCUUGCUGUCACUUAUAGAUGGAUCCGCGCUGCAUUAGCUAGUUGGUAAGGUAACGGCUUACCAAGGCAACGAUGCAUAGCCGACCUGAGAGGGUGAUCGGCCACACUGGAACUGAGACACGGUCCAGACUCCUACGGGAGGCAGCAGUAGGGAAUCUUCCGCAAUGGGCGAAAGCCUGACGGAGCAACGCCGCGUGAGUGAUGAAGGUCUUCGGAUCGGAAAACUCUGUUAUUAGGGAAGAACAUAUGUGUAAGUAACUGUGCACAUCUUGACGGUACCUAAUCAGAAAGCCACGGCUAACUACGUG